rnacentral:rRNA from 1 species
CAAUAGCGUAUAUUAAAGUUGUUGCAGUUAAAAAGCUCGUAGUUGGAUUUCUGGUCGGAAGCUCCUGUCCUCUGAUGAGCGUACAAGUGCGUCCUACCAUCCUUCUGUUAACCUUUAAGGCUUUCGCGGCUUUCUAGGGGCUCAGAUAUUUUACCUUGAGAAAAUUAGAGUGUUUCAGGCAGGCUAGCGCCGGAAUACAUUAGCAUGGAAUAAUGGAAUAGGACUUUUGCCUCUUCUGUUGGUCAUGAGGCUCGAGUAAUGAUUAAUAGGGAUAGUUGGGGGCAUUAGUACUUAACUGUCAGAGGUGAAAUUCUCGGAUUUGUUAAAGACUAACUUAUGCGAAANCANNNGCCAAGGAUGUUUUCAUNAG